UACGUAGGGUGCGAGCGUUGUCCGGAAUUAUUGGGCGUAAAGAGCUCGUAGGCGGUGUGUCGCGUCGGCCGUGAAAACCUGGGGCUCAACUCUGGGCGUGCGGUCGAUACGGGCAUCACUGGAGUUCGGCAGGGGGAGACUGGAAUUCCUGGUGUAGCGGUGAAAUGCGCAGAUAUCAGGAGGAACACCGGUGGCGAAGGCGGGUCUCUGGACAGUUCCUGACACUGAGGCACGAAGGCCAGGGGAGCAAACGGG
rnacentral:rRNA from 1 species